AGUGAACGCUGGCGGUAGGCCUAACACAUGCAAGUCGAACGGCAGCACAGUAAGAGCUUGCUCUUACGGGUGGCGAGUGGCGGACGGGUGAGGAAUACAUCGGAAUCUACUUUUUCGUGGGGGAUAACGUAGGGAAACUUACGCUAAUACCGCAUACGACCUACGGGUGAAAGCAGGGGAUCUUCGGACCUUGCGCGAUUGAAUGAGCCGAUGUCGGAUUAGCUAGUUGGCGGGGUAAGGCCCACCAAGGCGACGAUCCGUAGCUGGUCUGAGAGGAUGAUCAGCCACACUGGAACUGAGACACGGUCCAGACUCCUACGGGAGGCAGCAGUGGGGAAUAUUGGACAAUGGGCGGAAGCCUGAUCCAGCCAUACCGCGUGGGUGAAGAAGGCCUUCGGGUUGUAAAGCCCUUUUGUUGGGAAAGAAAAGCAGCAGGUUAAUACCCCGCUGUUCUGACGGUACCCAAAGAAUAAGCACCGGCUAACUUCGUG
rnacentral:rRNA from 1 species